AUUGAACGCUGGCGGCAGGCCUAACACAUGCAAGUCGAACGAGUGGCGGACGGGUGAGUAAUGUCUGGGAAACUGCCUGAUGGAGGGGGAUAACUACUGGAAACGGUAGCUAAUACCGCAUACCAUCGGAUGUGCCCAGAUGGGAUUAGCUAGUGGGUGGGGUAAAGGCUCACCAAGGCGACGAUCCCUAGCUGGUCUGAGAGGAUGACCGGCCACACUGGAACUGAGCCACGGUCCAGACUCCGACGGGAGGCAGCAGUGGGGAAUAGUGCACAAUGGGCGCAAGCCUGAUGCAGCCAUGCCGCGUGUAUGAAGAAGGCCUUCGGGUUUUAAAGUACUUUCAGCGGGGAGGCGUUACCCGCAGAAUAAGCACCGGCUAACUCCGUGCCAGCAGCCGCGGUAAUAC
rnacentral:rRNA from 1 species